GGUGGAGCUGCUGGGCUGGGAACACAGCCACCUGGUUGGACCUCAUCUGAGCAGGGCUGACCAGGGCAACGCUGGGUCCUCGGCAAAGCAUCUCUGUGGUCCCAUCUUCCUGGGGAGUCUCCAGACCCAGCUUCCCCUUCUCCUAAUGUCCCCUCCGAGAAUCAAGUUCCCCCAGAUCUGUUUCUCUGCCUGGAUACACCCCCUCCCCCAACCACUCUGAACCUAGGUCCCCAUCUGUGUAAGAGGACAGUGAUGGUACUUCAGGAUCUCAGGAGAUGAUGCCUGCAAAGUGCUAUGCUUAGCACAGUGGUAACAAGAGGGGCUGCUGUUAUCAUCAUCACUGCCUUUAGUGGCCAAGGACCUCCCAAGGUGCCAGUUCUGGGAAGAAAGAUGCCCCUGGGAAGUUACAAUGCUCAGCCAGGAUUGACCACGAGGAACCCUGAGAGCUCAAGAAGGAAGGAGCGGCCCAGAAGCAGGGACAGGAAGCUGGGUUGGGCAAGACCAGAAAUCAGAAGGGCACCCUGAGAGGACGUCAUGCGAGUGAAGUGACUGCUCUUUUGGCUCCUCCUGCUGUUUCCCAACCAUCAAUCCAGCCAUCUAUUGUUAGUGUAUUUUAUGUGUGGCACAAGACAAUUCUCCUUCUUCUAAUAUAGCCCAGGGAAGCCAAAAGAUUGGACAUUCCUGCUUCAGACCAAGAAAAAAGAAAACCCACAUUUGCAUGCCUAAAUACACUGCCAUCCAUGCAAGAAAUAUGAGACUGGAAACUUCCAACUUUUCCUGAAGCAGUGGAAUCG